rnacentral:rRNA from 1 species
GACGAACGCUGGCGGCGUGCUUAACACAUGCAAGUGGAGCGACGAACCAGGGCUUGCCCUGGGGCAGAGCCGCGAACGGGUGAGUAACACGUGGGUAACGUGCCCCGAUGACUGGGACAACCCGAGGAAACUCGGGCUAAUACCGGAUAUGCCCCCUCACGAGAGUGAGGUGUGUAAAGGAAGCUUCGGCCUCCGCAUCGGGAUCGGCCCGCGGCGCAUUAGCUUGUUGGUGGGGUAACGGCCUACCAAGGCGACGAUGCGUAGCUGGUCUGAGAGGACGAUCAGCCACACUGGGACUGAGACACGGCCCAAACUCCUACGGGAGGCAGCAGUGGGGAAUCUUGCGCAAUGGGCGAAAGCCUGACGCAGCCAUGCCGCGUGGAUGAUGAAGGUCUUAGGAUUGUAAAAUCCUUUCACCGGUGAAGAUAAUGACUGUAGCCGGAGAAGAAG